GGAUUGAUUUCAAAACCAACAAUGUAAAAGGUCAACCAGGCCUAUUGCAUUGCUAAGGAGUAACGAAAACUAUGAACACAACAAACAGGUAACCGGAGACUGUGAUAGCUGGUACGAAAAACGGGAAACAGAUUUUGUGCCUACAGUCAGUCACACAAGGUGAAUACGCCCACAUAAUCACACAUUUUGUCACCUUACACCUCAGCUUGAUCUGUACCCGCUCGCUGUUUGAGUGCUUUGGACUUUUCGUUUUUAUUUUUUUAAUUAAAAAAAAAGUCUGCGGUGACACGCCAUCUCCUCACAGUAUUAAGUGAAAUAGAACAAGAGUGACUUUCGUUGACACGAAACUUUUAAUUAUUCUGAAGUGAGUGCAGUUAAAACUCAUAACGUCACGUUGCGUUUGCAUCCUGCCACCGAACAGAGGGCUCAUUUCAUGGCUGCAAUUGGACUGAGAUAUUAAGCUGAAUUUCAAAGAGACUGUGAUACCUGGUGUAAUUUUACAGGACAGAAGCUGAAGCCCCAGCAGGCACCUAACUGCUCAAGAUGUGGAAAAACCUCCUGCUUUCUGCAGUUGGUCCUGGAAAAAUCGGCACCGUCGCGACAGUCAUCGGGAUAUUCAUUGCCACUGUUCUUCUGCAGACCGCGACGUGCGCUUGCAGAACUUUUGAAUGUAAUGAAAUCGUCGUCGUGCCUUUUUUUUUAGUAUUUUUCCUGGUGCUCCUGAUAGACCAGACAUUUCGGAGCACCGCGAAACAUCCAUCUACGUUUUUAUGCCUUGUACUCAAGCGCGUUAUCAGAGCGUUUCUAAUCAGCCUGCUGUGGAUUGUAGCAUUGUUGGUUUUAACGGACUGGUAUGGUUGUUGUAACAUUGAUGAAAACACGAGUAAGCUGUUCUGCAAAUCUGAGAACCUCACAACCGAACAAGAAGCUCGAAAAGCUGAAGUGGAAAUCAAGUCAAGGCUUUCUGCUUACUCUCUGCUCCUGGGCAUGACUGUUGUCGCUUUCUUCAUGACUUGGAGUGGGUGGAGAAAAUGGUUUGAAGAAAAAUACAGUUGGUGCAACAAGAAAACUUUUUACUACAAACUGAUUUUGGAAGAAGAGAAAAAAGUUCUGGAGGAGCUUUUGAGGAAAGAAGCAAAUGAGACUUUGACUAAAGAAAUCACGAGCAACAUAAAAAGGAAAGACUGGGACGGCUGUUUUAACGUUGCUCAACAAAUGAUCAGUAAUGCAAAACAUCAAAAACCAGAAGCAACCAACCAGCAGAUCAACUGGAUCAGUGAGGGGAGCUCCAGCAGAGGGGGACAGCAUCAUCAAGCAGCAGCACAUCAGCAGGCUCAAAACUAUGAACUUGAUGAAGUUGCACAAGGUCAGAAGCUGCAGCCUCAGCAGGCACCGAACUGCUCAAGAUGUUGAAUAAACUCCUGCAAUAUGUCCGUAGUGGAAAAAUCGGCACCACUGGCACAGGGAUCGGGAUUUUGUUUGCAUUUUACUGUCUGCGGGAAAAGAUGUGCGCUUGCUCAGGCCACACUUUUGAUUGCAAUGAAAUGGUGGUCGUGCCUGUUUUUUUAGUAUUUUUCCUGGUGCUCCUGAUAGACCAGACAUUUCGGAGCACAGCGGAGCAUCCAUCCACGCUUUUAUGCAUUGUACUAAAGCGCGUUAUCAGAGCGUUUCUAAUCAGUCUGCUGUGGAUUGUAGCUGUGUUGCUUUUUACAAACUGGUAUAGUUGCUGUACCACUGAUGAAAAAAAGAGGAAGCUGUUCUGUAAAUCUUGGCCCAACACAGCUACAACUAAUGAAACAGCUCAAAUGACUUGAGCUGAAAAUGAGGUCAAAGCUUGCUGCUUACUCUCUGCUCCUCAGCAUGACUGUUGUUGCUUUCUUCAUGACUUGGAGUGGGUGGAGAAAAUGGUUUAUAAAAAAAUUCAGUUGUUGCAACAAGAAAACUUUUUACUACAAACUGAUUUUGGAAGAAUAGAAAAAAGUUCUGGAGGAGCUUUUGAGGAAAGAAGCAAAUGAGACUCUGACUAAAGAAAUCACGAGCAACAUAAAAAGGAAAGACUGGGACGGCUGUUUAAAUGUUGCUCAACAAAUGAUCAGUAAUGCAAAACAUCAAAAACCAGAAGCAACCAACCAGCAGAUCAACUGGAUCAGUGAGGGGAGCUCCAGCAGAGGGGGACAGCAUCAUCAAGCAGCAGCACAUCAGCAGGCACAAAAGUAUGAACUCCAAGCAUUGUCACAAGACAUCAGAGACACCGAACCGUUAUUUGAUGAAUACUUCUGAAAGAAGAUGAAGAGGUGCAGCUACAAAAUCAAUACAAAUGACCACUGACAAAUCCUGCCCAUCCAGCAGUCUGCUUUCUGAUGCUUACCUCGGUUCAGGUGUUGGGUGCAGCAGUCUGAUCAGAGACAGCCCGACCUCAUUUUCCUUUGUAGCUUCCUGCACCUCCCCCAGCUCCUCUGGAGUCCCACUGAGACGUUUACAAGUCUGCACGACACCCAGUCUCUCUGUAUGCAAUUUUUGUCAGACUAUGUAAAGUGUCCAUUCUGUGUUUUUGCUGUUUGGAAUGAUAAAUCUAAAGAAAUGUUUCCAUGUUUGUAUUAUGCUUUAUUUUUUUAUGUAGCCUAUUGAUAAUUCAGCUUUUACAUUAAUACACUUGCAAAUGGAGUGGUGUAAUGGAGUAAAUAACAUUCAUCAAAAUAAAGUGCUCUGUAAAAAACAAAACAAAUACCCUGUGAUAUUUUGUGGACUACCUUAUGCUUUAAUAGCAGCACAUGUUCCCUGUGACACUGUAUUGAAGCUUGUGCUGUGUCAUUUUUCACAGAGAUCUUAUCCUGAUGAUGGGAAAACUGGACCACUACAUGAAGUGUUCUCAAGCACAUCCUAAAGAUUCUCAGUGAGGAACAGGCGUAGACUCUGUGGUUGCCAUACAUGAUUUCAAGCUAUCUUAAUCACUGUACAUCAGGAAUACAAAAUAAAAUAAUGUGGUUCUGUAUAUUCAAGUAUUCACCUCAGCUAAUUUUUUGGGCACCUAACAUUGUUGAACCUCGAUCUCCAAUCCAAUCAGAAGACUCUUACCUCUUACCUGUUUUUAUGUGAUAGUGUUAAAAUAGUAUUUAGUGUUUUCUAGCUGGUUUUUUUUUUUCUUACUGCACAGUAAGAAGAAAGUCUACUACUUGUUUUUCUCUGCAUUUCAUUCACUCAGUGAAACAAUGGGCAGCCACUAAGCAGGCGCCUGGGGAGCAGUGUGUAGGGACGGUACCUUGCUCAAGGGUACCUCAGGGUAGCUGUUCAGUUGAUUCAAACCCC
ensembl:lncRNA